CUAUCCCUAGAGGCAUUGUAUGUGUGACUGCUGCAUUGCAUGUAAUUUAGCAAGUUGCCAAGAGGAUAGGUGCUGUCUAUUCUCAGUGUUCUGGUCUGGGAACAUCUAAAUGAAGAGUAGCAUAAAAUU